rnacentral:rRNA from 1 species
GACGAACGCUGGCGGCGUGCUUAACACAUGCAAGUCGAACGGAAAGGCCCUGCUUUUGUGGGGUGCUCGAGUGGCGAACGGGUGAGUAACACGUGAGUAACCUGCCCUUGACUUUGGGAUAACUUCAGGAAACUGGGGCUAAUACCGGAUAGGAGCUCCUGCUGCAUGGUGGGGGUUGGAAAGUUUCGGCGGUUGGGGAUGGACUCGCGGCUUAUCAGCUUGUUGGUGGGGUAGUGGCUUACCAAGGCUUUGACGGGUAGCCGGCAUGAGAGGGUGACCGGCCACAUUGGGACUGAGAGACGGCCCGGACUCCUACGGGAGGCAGCAGUGGGGAAUAUUGCACAAUGGGCGGAAGCCUGAUGCAGCAACGCCGCGUGCGGGAGGACGGCCUUCGGGUUGUAAACCGCUUUCGCCUGUGACGAAGCGUGAGUGACGGUAAUGGGUAAAGAAGCACCGGCUAACUACGU